rnacentral:rRNA from 1 species
AACGAACGCUGGCGGCAUGCCUAACACAUGCAAGUCGAACGCGUGUAGCAAUACACGAGUGGCGGACGGGUGAGUAACGCGUGGGAACCUGCCCAGUAGUAGGGAAUAACUGCGGGAAACUGCAGCUAAUACCCUAUGAGCCCUACGGGGGAAAGAUUUAUCGCCAUUGGAGGGGCCCGCGUCGGAUUAGCUAGUUGGUAGGGUAACGGCCUACCAAGGCGACGAUCCGUAGCUGGUCUGAGAGGAUGAUCAGCCACACUGGGACUGAGAUACGGCCCAGACUCCUACGGGAGGCAGCAGUGGGGAAUAUUGGACAAUGGGGGAAACCCUGAUCCAGCAAUGCCGCGUGAGUGAAGAAGGCCUUCGGGUUGUAAAGCUCUUUCGGCGGGGACGAUGGUGACGGUACCCGCAGAAGAAGCCCCGGCUAACUUCGUGCCAGCCGCCGCCGUAA